UACGGAGGGUGCAAGCGUUAAUCGGAAUUACUGGGCGUAAAGCGUACGUAGGUGGUUUGUUAAGUCAGCUGUGAAAUCCCCGGGCUCAACCUGGGCACUGCAGUUGGAACUGGCAAGCUAGAGUAGGGUAGAGGGGUGUGGAAUUCCAGGUGUAGCGGUGAAAUGCGUAGAUAUCUGGAGGAACAUCAGUGGCGAAGGCGACACCCUGGGCUCAUACUGACGCUGAGGUACGAAAGCGUGAGGAGCAAACAGG
rnacentral:rRNA from 1 species